UACAGAGGUGGCAAGCGUUGUUCGGAAUUACUGGGCGUAAAGGCGCGUAGGCGGCCCUCUAAGUCAGACGUGAAAUCCCCCGGCUUAACCUGGGAACUGCGUCUGAUACUGGGAGGCUAGAGUAUGGGAGAGGGAUGUAGAAUUCCAGGUGUAGCGGUGAAAUGCGCAGAUAUCAGGAGGAACACCGGUGGCGAAGGCGGAUCUCUGGGCCAUUACUGACGCUGAGGAGCGAAAGCGUGGGGAGCGAACGAUGAUAUACCGUACCGUCAGU
rnacentral:rRNA from 1 species